rnacentral:rRNA from 1 species
UGAAGGAAUGUAAUAAAUUAGUAAUUUAAUUGAAAUUUAAUGGUUUUGGCGGUUGAUUUAUUAUUAGAGGAGCUUGUCUUUAGAAAUAGCUCUUUGUAUUUAAUUAUUAUACAUUUAUUCAUCUCCGUUAGGAAUUUAGAAAAAUUUAAAAAUUUUAGUUAAAAUUUCAGGUCAAGAUGUAGUUUUUAUUAAAAAUUUGAUUAGCUACAUUUAUGAAAUUAAUGGAGAGAUUUAAAAGAUAGAUUUAAUUGAAGUUGAAUUUAGUUGUAAUAUAAAUUAAAAAAUUUUUGUGAAAUUUUAAUAUUA